CUGUCGCUAUGGGAUGGCCCCGCGGUGCAUUAGCUAGUUGGUAAGGUAAAGGCUUACCAAGGCGAUGAUGCAUAGCCGUGUUGAGAGACUGAUCGGCCACAUUGGGACUGAGACACGGCCCAAACUCCUACGGGAGGCAGCAGUAGGGAUUCAUCCACAAUGGACUNAAGUCUGAUGGAGCAACGCCGCGUGAGUGAAGAAGGUU
rnacentral:rRNA from 1 species